rnacentral:rRNA from 1 species
AUGGGAGGCGUUUGGGAGGAUCGACUAGGAAGGAUCAAACGGCACCUGGAGAAGACCUACACAAGGGUGCCACCAAGAUCUUCAAGGAUGUCCUCGACUCUGCCGGGUGAGAUGGAUUCUUUUCAUCUUUCAUUCUCCAGUCAUUAUGUUCUAGACCAAAUAGAUCCUAAUGCGAUCGAGUUGGAGGCAGAUUCAGACAACAGAUUCCUUUACAAAUUCGAAGCGAGAACUCAAAAAAGAAAGUGCAAGGAAAUGAAGGGCGCAAGACUACUAGAGGCAAAGACAGGCGGACGCGGCCGGAGCAGUAUGGUGGCGUCGAUGGGUGUGGAGGAGUGUGUGAAGACGCUGCAGAGCACCGUUGAGGAGCUUGUCAGUAGGACGAGCUGCUCCCGCUGCUGCAUGGCAACCCAGCCGGAUCUGCCUCGACAGGGUGUUGGGAAGGUGGUCAAUGUGAACAAGAUGGUCAGGGCCAGAUGGAGAGUAAAGAUCCUAAUAGCGGACCAGAGGCCAACUUGGCAAGAUCAGGGAGCAGCUGGACCACGACAAGGACUUCGGCGGCGGCUUCUCCGCCAUGUGGGAUUAUUCCUUGACCUUUCACAAUUCCUUCAGGCGUCCAUAACAUCAAGCAUAAUUUUGGUGUUUCUUAACCUUUUGCAUUCUACUCUAAUAAGUUAA